UACGUAGGCAGCAAGCGUUGUUCGGAGUUACUGGGCGUAAAGGGUGUGUAGGCGGUCUUCUAAGUUUGGUGUGAAAUCUCCCGGCUCAACUGGGAGGGUGCGCCGAAAACUGGGAGGCUAGAGUGCGGGAUGGGAGAGUGGAAUUCCUGGUGUAGCGGUGAAAUGCGUAGAUAUCAGGAAGAACACCCGUGGCGAAAGCGGCUCUCUGGAACGGUACUGACGCUGAGACGCGAAAAGCGUGGGGGAGCGAACAGG
rnacentral:rRNA from 1 species